UAUAAUGUCUCAAAAUGACAUAUUACCCCAAUUUUCACAUUUUUAUUACAACAUAAAAUAUUGUAUCACAAUAAGAUGCAUACCAGGAAUACUAUGUUAAACGAAAGAGAACACUACAUGGAAAUGUAAACUACAUGGAAAUGUACACUACAUGGAAAUGUAAAGCCUGACUAGAGUUCCUAUGCUGGCGCAUGCCGAUUGAACUACCACUGCAUUGUUUAUUUAUUUGCUUUUCGGUAAUCUUCUAUUUCUAUCUUCAUGAUUCGAUUGGAUAUUUAACAGAAUCAUGUGUUUAUACAUUUGACUGAAUUAUAUGUUGUCCUUGUUGAAGCCUGUCUAACCAUGUAUAUUUUUUCUAUUUGAUUAUUAAAACAUUAUUAAAGCCUCAUUAAAAUUA